UACGGGGGGGGCAAGCGGUGUUCGGAAUUACUGGGCGUAAAGGGCUCGUAGGCGGCCAACUAAGUCAGACGUGAAAUCCCUCGGCUUAACCGGGGAACUGCAUCUGAUACUGGAUGGCUUGAGUUCGGGAGAGGGAUGCGGAAUUCCAGGUGUAGCGGUGAAAUGCGUAGAUAUCUGGAGGAACACCGGUGGCGAAGGCGGCAUCCUGGACCGACACUGACGCUGAGGAGCGAAAGCGUGGGGAGCAAACAGG
rnacentral:rRNA from 1 species